GUUGUCAAGUGGUCAGGUCAACAGGUCAUCAGGUCAACAGGUCAUCAGGUCAUCAGGUCAACAGGUCAUCAGGUCAUCAGGUUCCGGCUCCACCUGAGUCUCCUGAAGUUCCUCACAGAGCAGAUCAGGCUGAAUCCUGUUAAAUGGGUUCAUGAAGCAGGUUAAGAUGGCGUCUCCGUCUCCAUGGCGAUAAGCAAACUGCAGGGGGUCCUGAUAUGAGCUUGUUCAGGUGGGCCAACAGGAGUGUCUCCAGGACCUCCAUGAUGCGGGUUGUCAUGGCAACAGGUCUACAGUCGUUGACGACUAAAGUCCAUCAGAAAGCAGCUGAAGCUGAGAGGAAGAGGAGGAAGAGGAGGAAGAGGAGGAGCUGAUCUGUUCCUGAUCUCUAAAGAGACUCAAACUUCCUCCUUCAGUUCAGUUCAACUCUCCAACAUUAACUCUGCUCAACAUGGACUAUUAUGGUCUGUCUCUGCUCAUCAUCUCUCUGCUAACAGCAGUCACCUGUGAAGAACUGACUCCAGUCAAACAUGCAGAGUCCAGAUCAGAAAGCAGCAAAGUUACUCUGUCCUACACUUACUCCAAAACAGCCACUGGAACUGAUUCUUUCUUCUGGUAUCGACAAUAUCUUGGAAAACCUCCACAGUUCCUGAUCUCUCACUCAGGAACAGGAACACAAACUUCUCAGCCGCUUCCUGGUUUCUCCUUCAACAUGAAUGCUGAUAAAACCCAGAUGGAUCUGCUGAUCUCCUCUGCUGCAGUGACAGACUCUGCUGUGUACUACUGCGCUGUGAAGCCCACAGUGACAGGAAACACCAGAACCCUGUACAAAAACCUGCAGUACUCCACAGCAGCCACUAGAGGGCCUCACUCUCUGUUAAACCACUAAAACCUGCAGUACU